UCCGUAGGCGGUGCGGCAAGUCGAUAGUGAAAUCCCUGGGCUUAACCCAGGGGCUGCUAACGAAACUGCCGUGCUCGAGUGUGAGAGAGGCGAGUGGAAUUACGGGUGUAGCGGUGAAAUGCGUAGAUAUCCGUAGGAACAUCCGAGGCGAAAGCGGCUCGCUGGAUCACAACUGACGCUGAGGGACGAAAGCUAGGGGAGCAAACGAGGAUUAGAUACCCUGGUAGUCCUAGCCCUAAACCAUCAGGACUUGGGUUUGCCCUGUACGGGGCAAGUCCCGUAGCUAACGCGUUAAGUCCUGCGCCUGGGGAGUACGGUCGCAAGGCUGAA
rnacentral:rRNA from 1 species